UCGGAGGAAAAGAAACCAACAGGGAUUGCCUUAGUAACGGCGAGUGAAGCGGCAAAAGCUCAAAUUUGAAAUCUGGCACCUUCGGUGUCCGAGUUGUAAUUUGAAGAAGGUAACUUUGGAGUUAGCUCUUGUCUAUGUUCCUUGGAACAGGACGUCACAGAGGGUGAGAAUCCCGUGCGAUGAGAUGUCUAACUCUAUGUAAAGUGCUUUCGAAGAGUCGAGUUGUUUGGGAAUGCAGCUCUAAGUGGGUGGUAAAUUCCAUCUAAAGCUAAAUAUUGGCGAGAGACCGAUAGCGAACAAGUACAGUGAUGGAAAGAUGAAAAGAACUUUGAAAAGAGAGUGAAAAAGUACGUGAAAUUGUUGAAAGGGAAGGGUUUGAGAUCAGACUUGGUAUUUUGUAUGUCUUGCUUUCGGGUGGGGCCUCUGCAGUUUACUGGGCCAGCAUCGGUUUGGAUGGUAGGAUAAUGACAUUGGAAUGUGGCACUACUUCGGUGGUGUGUUAUAGACUUUGUUGAUACUGCCUGUCUAGACCGAGGACUGCGUCUUUGACUAGGAUGCUGGCAUAAUGAUCCUAAACCGCCCGUCUUGAACCCGGACC
rnacentral:rRNA from 1 species